CGUUAUAAAGAUUCCAUCCCCGGAAUCACCGUUUUAAAACCUACACAUACAGGUGUACGUAGCAUAUACAAUCAUUGCAGGUAGAUCUUGAUCAUAAAUGAUCGUUGAUAAGUGGAUUUUAUAUACACUUAUCCGAUAUCUUUUACUUGAAUUAGUUGCUUAUAUUCAUGUGUCUUAGUUACUUUUCAUGCAUUUUGUGUUCAUUUUAUAGGUUAUAUG
rnacentral:lncRNA from 1 species